rnacentral:rRNA from 1 species
UACAGAGGGUGCGAGCGUUAAUCGGAAUUACUGGGCGUAAAGCGCACGUAGGCGGCUUGGUAUGUCGGGUGUGAAAUCCCCGGGCUCAACCUGGGAACUGCAUCCGAAACUGCCUUGCUCGAGUAUGGGAGAGGGAAGUGGAAUUUCCGGUGUAGCGGUGAAAUGCGUAGAUAUCGGAAGGAACAUCAGUGGCGAAGGCGACUACCUGGCCUGUUCUUGACGCUGAGGCGCGAAAGCUAGGGGAGCAAACGGG